CGCCCUGUCUGCUGUCCCGGGUGCAUUUCCGGCUCCCUCUCUCACCGGCUCUGAGCCCUUGGGGAAGCCACUCACUGCUUCUGCCAAACCUCCAUCGCCUCACCUAUGAACAGGGAAUAAGCGACAGACUCUACCUCCCAGGACCGCAAUGAGGAUUCACUGAGAACAUCCACGGACAGCACUUACUUCGAAUUCUUACCUGUGCACGAGGCACAGGGGGGCAGUGUCGCCCCCCCCCCGUUACAGAGGGGGACGCAGAGCUGGUGGGGGUAGAAUCAGCGGGGAGAACUGCUUGGGGUCACGUGCCCAGGCUGCGAGGGGUACAUGGGGACACCGAGGCCCACUUCCUGCCCUGAAGCGCAUGGCCUGAGCCAAAGAGGGGAGAAGAUUGGGCCCCUGGCCAUCAGGCUGGGCUGAGAGGGAAUGUACAGGCCCAAACCCGGCUGUGGGACUCAGUAAAAAGUACUUGGGCUGCUUUGGGGCAAGGAUCCCGGGACUGGGCGAGUGCUGGGGCCCCAGGAGGGCUCGGAACACCAGAGAAGAGGAAGAGGGCAUCCCAAUUAUGGGAAUCUGAGCAAGCAGUGUUGGAGACCGAAGGGGAGUGGCCUGUGUGGGGUCAAAGAAGCUGGAUGCCCGGCCACUGGGUACAAAGGACAACUAAAGCCAGAGAAAGGCCAGGACUGGAGUUCCAGAAGCAAACAGUGGCAAUCAGACGACUGCUGCCUGAGACUCCAGACGGCAGGCCCGGAGGGUUUGCUGCCUUGGAACCCGAGAAGCCUCCACCUGUUCCACACCAGCCAAGGGCAUCUGAGAAACGGAUGCAUCAUCUUUCCUGGACCGUGCUGGAAGGUAAGAAGCUGCCCACAAGGCAGCUGAUCCCCGAGAGACAGGCUGGAGGGAGGGAUGGUUCCGAACAGCCAAGCUCCUCGGUCCUCCCUAUGGCAAAGUCUGGCACUCAGGAGAAGCCCGAGGGUGCACACACGCGUACGCGUGCACGUUCGAAGCCUCACGGACGGUCCA
rnacentral:lncRNA from 1 species